rnacentral:lncRNA from 1 species
AGGGCAGUGAACCUAAGCCAGGAGCUGCUUAGGCAUUAAGGCUUCUAUACCCAGAAUCGUGUGCUAAGCUUUCUCUCCAAGUCAGCACAACAAAGCAAACCAGAGCAUCGUACCAACAACCUGAAAGGUCACCUGACUCCUUCCUUCUCACUCCCAUUCUGUACUUCUGCAUACGUGGGCAGGCAAGUGAAUGGUAAGUAAGCCUGCAAACAGCCUUUCUUUGUAUAGGGAAUGACAGGCAUUUCAUCAGCAACUCCAGGAUGGCAGGCCGUUAUCCUGAAACCUAUCAGAACAGCUCCUGCUUGGCUUCCAAAAUAUCACAAUUUUGGAAAUGUACAAAGGUUAGUUUUCACAGUCCUUGAAGCCUCUUUCCACCCUGGCCAUAGCCCAUGUCAGCAGUAACCUAUGUCUUUGUUUUACAUAUCAUGUUGUUUUACUCACCUGGUGCCUCCAGUGCCCUAUAGGGUCCCUGAGCUGUCCUGAUACUCUUUCUUAGAUCCUGUCAAAACACUCACUUCAACAAAUUCUGCCCUUGGACUCUGAUGGGAGGUUCUGAUAAAGAAAAUUAUUGAAAACCGCAUUAUUUAAAUGUGGUUAUAUUUCAGCUGGACCUGGAAAUAAAGACGAAAUACUGCUUCGUGACUGUGCUUUAAGGAAUUUUUGCUUCUAGGAGAUGAUUGUGAGCCAGGCAGAGGUGAAGGAGCAGGAGCAAAUAGCCAAGGCACAGUUCACAGUGCUGGAUUUUCUUGUGGAUAUAGCUGCAUUGUUGUUCCUUCUGCCUUGUCCAACUGCUUCCUGGUAUCCCUACCCUCACCUUUUCGUUAUCUUUUCAUCUCUCUAAUCAUUGAGAAAAAGAGUACAAAAAGCCAGAUUUUGCAGUUCCCUAUUUUGUAUUCCAGGUUGAAGAGUGCUCUGGCUGUAGAGGGUCCCCACGAUCUGUCAUCUAGUAACUCACCAGAUACAUAAGAUAUUUUGCCUGCUAUGAAGCCAUUGGAGAAUCAGGUCCAGCUGUGUCCUACAGAUUUAUACCCUCACUUUGGAUGCACUGUGAAUCUUGAAACAAUUCAUUUUAUACUUAACCCUUUAAGUAUAAAGUAUAUACUUCAAGUAUAAAGUGUAAGGUUGCUUCAUUUCAUGGGCCCACCCAGGAUUUAAAGGUGUAUUCCCUGAAAGAAUUGGUUCCUUCCGGUGGGUUCCUGGCUGACUUCAAGAAUGAAGCUGCAGACACUUAUGGACUGGGAGGAGGCCCACGAGAAAAACAGGAAGAACAAGAGAAAGGCUGAGGCUCUAGUGGCUGCUUUGCAGACUUGCAGAGUCCAGGAUCCCCCAGGAACUUCCACUGAUUGCUACCUGUUACCAGUGUUAAAGCCAGGGCACUUUAAGAAGAAUUGCCCAAGCCACAAGAAAAAGCCACCUUGACCACUUUUGUGGUGAAGACCACUGGAGAUUGCACUACUGACCACCAAGACAGAGACACAAUAGCGAAUCUAGAAGUGGAAGUGUGAGAGAUACCUGCAGCUGUUAAGAUGUCUGGGAAUAGACACACAAACUCUCUCUCCCAGAUAAGCAACACAAAGCAGCACAGAGCAACAGAGACUGAAAGUCUGCCUACCUGAUCAGGGAAUAAGUUAGUGAUGGCAAUAACAAGCUGUCUGGAGGAGCUACUGCCAUCACAAAGGCUGCAGUGGUGAGGCAUGAGUGGUGCCAGCAAGACAGGCUGAGGGAGAAGCAGUGGUGGCAGUCUGACCCCAUGCCCCGUGUCCCUGAGGCAGCUGAUGGUGCUGCUCCAAUCCUUUCACCACUGCACAAAACUUGUUCCCAGGCCCAGAGACUUCAUUGCUCUAAACUCUGGCCCCACACUGCUGCUCUCACACACUGCCACUACUAGGAUGGUUUCGGAAGGAGGAAGACAGUCACUGGAGCCUGCCCCUGGGAGCCUACUGCCCUGGAGGCCACUGCAAUAAAGUCAGGUUGAUUCACUUAUCAACAGGAGAGCACCGUGGUCAGGCAAAGAAGGGCCCAAGGUGGAGAUGGUACAAGGGUAGUGUGUUACUUCCACAUGGAGUGCAGGGGCUGGCCUGCAGUGCAGAGCUGAGACCAUGAUUCAGGAGCCCAGGGUGGGAAGUGUGAGUGGUGCCCACAUCGGAUGGCCAUGGCACUUACACCUCUGAGGGUGCCAGGUUCUUGUGCCUUGAGAGAGGCUCUGAGUGGAGCCACAUGUUCACUGGGUCUGCCCCAUAUCAGAGUGACCACUGAGACUGACACUUCCUGAAAGCAUUUUCCUGAGAAGGGAUGCAACCUGGGUAAGGGGAAGCCCUGGGCCACCCUGAGCACUGGGUGGGGGGGCAUUGAGCGAUCUCACAGAAAUGUCACCCUUGCCCCAGACACCAAACCAGGCCCAGUGAGGACAUGGAUUCCCUGCCCCAGGCUGCAAGAGGGCAUGACUGGGGCUGCUUGCUCCACAGAGCCAGUCUCCACUUGGAGGACAAGUGGGACCAGUGCCCUUUCUGAGUUGGUGGGUGGUAACUCCCCAGGUAAAGCUGCUGCUGCCAUUCUGCCACUGCAAAGCUGGAAAUUUCUGCACUCUCAGGGUUGGAAAAUGCCCUUUUGCCUCCCCAUGGGCUUGAGGGUACUUGCUCCCACUGCCGGGAUUCUCCCUAGUGUUGAUGCCUCCUUCAGUAUUGGAGCAAGCUGGGCACUGAGCCUAGGUGCUGUUGCAGCCCAGCCUAGUAUGCACACACUCAGGGCAGAAUUGACAGGCCAGCCCCCUGCCAUUUUGGCCCUCUGCAGACUUUGGCCACCAACAAGCACAGGAGGGAGUACCAGUGGUGUGGUGGGGGUGCUGAGGGCAGCCUGGGGCUUGCAUCUUGGUGACCCUUAGCAUGAACAGUCUCGGAACAAUUUACAGCAGCAGGAGGCAGACAGGCUGUUUGACCGAAGGGGACAGAACUCAGAUGAAACCCCAUCUUCAAGCCAGGGAGGGCCCAAAGCCUGGGGUCCAGGCAACCAGUUCCAGAGACCAGAAGGGAAACUUGUGUUGCUUGUUCCUGAGCCCACCCAUGGCAACCAAUGGACCAAUCAGCACUCACUUCUUCCUCACUGCAGUCCAUAAAAAGCCUACACUCAGCCAGACUCAAAAAGAAGAUAGAUGAUGGUGAGAUGAAGGACUGGUCUGCCUGCAGAGAGGAGCUCUCCGCUACAAGUCUCUCCCUUCUAGGAGAUGAACAUUUGUAGGGAGACCCUGACUGAGCCACCAACUGCAGGUCUUCUCUGAGCUGUUUUAUCACUCAAUAAAACUCCUUCUCAUCCUACUUACUCUUCACUUGUCUGCAUACAUCAUUCUUCCUAGUCACAGAACAAGAACUUGGAACUUAUCGAAUGGCAAAUCUAAGAAAGCUGUAACACAAACAGGGCUAAAACAUGUCCCUUGGUUCCCACAUUAUGGGCAAAAAGUAAGAAAAAAAAAGUUGUGGUCUUCAGGAACCUCAGACCUGUGAGCUCCCUGAGGCAAGUUUGUGACUUUAUUUUGGGGGCACUGUGGCUUCUGAGGCAAGGUUAUGACUUUCUUUCUGGGGCACUGUGGUUCCUGGCAUCUCCAAGCCUCAAGGCACCACCACAUUUCUCAGUGCUAGUCAUAAAAGCUACUUUCAGUACCCCUGGUCCAGCUGCAGCCUUGCAGAGACCUGGCAGAUGGAAUUGCCCACUACAUGGCAGCAGCCAGCGUGUCUGACUGCAGUAACCAGAAUUCACUCUUGCUGACACACCUUUUGCUGCUUCACACCUGACUUGUAAUCUUUCUUAGAGGAUGGUAUCCAGACAAGUAGCAUAAGCCAAGCAUAGCCUGCCAGGCCAAAUUAGUGGAAUAAGCCCGGUGGGCCUAAGAAAAUGCAGGCAAAUGAGCUACCAGCUACAGAUAUUUCCAUCCAGAAAAGUGACAUUUCCAAAUAUCUCAUAUCUCUAGGUUUUCCAGUACUAUCUUGAGUAAGUGUUGUCAGUCGACAUUCUUUUCAUAUUUCAUACCUUAGAAGAAAGGCUUUUAGUUUUUCUUCAUUCAGUAACAUACUAGCUGUGGAUUUGUAAUAUAUGGAUUCUAUUUUGUUAAAGCAUGUCAUUUCUAUACCCAGCAGGUUGAGGGGUUUCAUCAUUGGGAGUGCUGAAUAUAUUCGAAUGCUUUUUCAGAGUUAACUAAAAUAAUCAUGUGGCUUUAUUCCUUCCUUCUGUUGACACAAUGUUUCAUAUUAAUUGAUUUACCCAUAUGUUGAACAAUUCUUGCAUCAAAGGAAUAAAUCCAACUUGGUCAUAAUGAGUGAUCUUUCUAAUGCAUGGUGAAAUUUGGUUUGCUUGUAUUUUGUUG